rnacentral:rRNA from 1 species
UACGUAGGUGGCGAGCGUUGUCCGGAUUUACUGGGCGUAAAGCGCGCGCAGGCGGUCGUUCAAGUCGCGUGUGAAAGCCCCCGGCUCAACUGGGGAGGGUCACGCGAUACUGAUCGACUCGAAGGCAGGAGAGGGUAGUGGAAUUCCCGGUGUAGUGGUGAAAUGCGUAGAUAUCGGGAGGAACACCAGUGGCGAAGGCGACUACCUGGCCUGUUCUUGACGCUGAGGCGCGAAAGCUAGGGGAGCAAACGGG